rnacentral:rRNA from 1 species
AGCGUGAAGCCCCCCUCAAGAUGAGAUAUCCCUCCUUCGGGAGUAAGACCCCUUGAAGACUACAAGGUAGAUAGGGCAGAGGUGGAAGCACAGUAAUGUAUGGAGCUGACUGUUACUAAUAGGUCGAGGGCUUAAUCAAAA